UACGUAGGGGGCAAGCGUUGUCCGGAUUUAUUGGGCGUAAAGAGCGUGUAGGCGGCCAUACAGGUCAGCUGUGAAAACUCGAGGCUCAACCUCGAGACGUCGGUUGAAACCGUAAGGCUAGAGUCCGGAAGAGGAGAGUGGAAUUCCCGGUGUAGCGGUGAAAUGCGCAGAUAUCGGGAAGAACACCCGUGGCGAAGGCGGCUCUCUGGGACGGUACUGACGCUGAGACGCGAAAGCGUGGGGAGCGAACAGG
rnacentral:rRNA from 1 species